rnacentral:rRNA from 1 species
GACGAACGCUGGCGGCGUGCCUAAUACAUGCAAGUAGAACGCUGAAGAGAGGAGCUUGCUCUUCUUGGAUGAGUUGCGAACGGGUGAGUAACGCGUAGGUAACCUGCCUGGUAGCGGGGGAUAACUAUUGGAAACGAUAGCUAAUACCGCAUAAAAUUGAUUAUUGCAUGAUAAUUAAUUGAAAGAUGCAAUUGCAUCACUACCAGAUGGACCUGCGUUGUAUUAGCUAGUUGGUGAGGUAACGGCUCACCAAGGCGACGAUACAUAGCCGACCUGAGAGGGUGAUCGGCCACACUGGGACUGAGACACGGCCCAGACUCCUACGGGAGGCAGCAGUAGGGAAUCUUCGGCAAUGGGGGGAACCCUGACCGAGCAACGCCGCGUGAGUGAAGAAGGUUUUCGGAUCGUAAAGCUCUGUUGUAAGAGAAGAACGGGUGUGAGAGUGGAAAGUUC